UUGGCGGACGGGUGGAGUAACGCGUGGAAAACCUGCCGUAUACUGGGGGAUAACACUUAGAAUAGGUGCUAAUACCGCAUAAGCGCACAGCUUCGCAUGAAGCGGUGUGAAAAACUCUGGUGGUAUACGAUGGUUCCGCGUCUGAUUAGCUAGUUGGUGGGGUAAUGGCCUACCAAGGCAACGAUCAGUAGCCGGCCUGAGAGGGUGAACGGCCACAUUGGGACUGAGACACGGCCCAAACUCCUACGGGAGGCAGCAG
rnacentral:rRNA from 1 species